ACCUUCCCAAGACUCCGUAGCAUAUCCGCCAAAAAUAAAACUGCCAACUUUAACCAGGGUAACUGUUGGUUUCUUGUUGUCGCACUUGCUAUGGAAGGUACUGGCUGCCCAUCCAUCUCGUGUUGCACGCCAACACAGUUUUGCUGCAACAACUCCCCCAAUCCACGAUUUUAUUAAUGCACCACCAUCAUAUUCUCCAAAGAGUAUGCUUGAUCCAAAAAACGCCAGAUCUAUUCAAGGAAAAAUAUUGAGACUGUAUAGGAAUCUUCACAACUUUAUUUUUAGUUAUCAACCAUUGCAUGUAUAUAUGGGUUAUAUUUAUCAUUUGACGUAUAGGGGGAAAAAGGAACUGUCCCGCUCCGCUUCGGAAGCACUGUCGCGCCCCUGACAUGCCUGCACCAGCACCCUCCUCACGAGCCAUGUCCGAGCCUACGAGCCAUUAAGACGCCUCUGCGGAGAGUAGUUGCAGUCUACGUUUCUUCAUUACAAUCACAGUUAUGCAAGUCAGCUAAUUCAAAGUGCGAAAUGCAUCUUUGGUUGUCAGGGUGUUUACGUUUUUUGGUUUUGUUUAGUAUAUUUUAUUUUCGAAAAUGAAUGAAUGAUAUCAUCAAUCAGUCAGUCCAGCAGGGGAUAAUAAAUCAAUGCACGCAUGUUAUAAGAAAUGUAUUUAAAACAAUUUAUGAUGUCUAUAUUUCCUUUGAUAUAACGAUUAUAUUUCGAACUAAUGUAACCUCUCCCCCCCGUAAAUCCAAACAGUAUAGGAGGAAAAAUACUAUUUCGCUGACCUCAGAAUGACAUUUCGUCAAAACUUUUUUCUUCAAGAUUGGUUUAGAAGCAAACUUGGAGUAGGGUUAGGUUAGGAAUAGGGUUGGAGUUAGGAUUAGGGUUAGAGUUGGUGUUUGGAAUAGGGUUAGUGUUAGUAAAACAGUUGUUUGGUUACGUUUUGUCACUUUGAGGCCGGCGAAAUAAUCUCUUCCGGUAAAGGAAGCCUGGUUGCCCCGGCAUUCGCGGUAGUAAUCGUCGGUCUUUGUAAUUUCAAUAUAAAAUGGGUUUUGACUUUUGAUUGCCAUUGUUAAAAUAUGGUCCAAAACUUGUACAUCUCGCCGUAUUUUCGAAGAACGACAUUUGUUCUACAUGCUGACGAAUUUUUUGUAGAAUAAAGCGAUUUGAGUCACAGGCAGCCCAUCCCGUGUCUUAUUAAAGUUAUGUAUUAGAAUUACGUAUGAAA